GACUCCUUCGUCUAGAGGCCUAGGACCUCACCCUUUCACGGUGGUAACACGGGUUCGAAUCCCGUAGGAGUCA
rnacentral:tRNA from 1 species